rnacentral:rRNA from 1 species
AGCGAACGCUGGCGGCAGGCUUAACACAUGCAAGUCGAGCGGGCAUCUUCGGAUGUCAGCGGCAGACGGGUGAGUAACACGUGGGAACGUACCCUUCGGUUCGGAACAACUCUGGGAAACUGGAGCUAAUACCGGAUACGCCCUUAUGGGGAAAGGUUUACUGCCGAAGGAUCGGCCCGCGUCUGAUUAGCUAGUUGGUGGGGUAACGGCCUACCAAGGCGACGAUCAGUAGCUGGUCUGAGAGGAUGAUCAGCCACACUGGGACUGAGACACGGCCCAGACUCCUACGGGAGGCAGCAGUGGGGAAUAUUGGACAAUGGGCGCAAGCCUGAUCCAGCCAUGCCGCGUGAGUGUUGAAGGCCUUAGGGUUGUAAAGCUCUUUUGUCCGGGACGAUAAUGACGGUACCGGAAGAAUAAGCCCCGGCUAACUUCGUG